rnacentral:rRNA from 1 species
ACUCCUGCGGGAGGCAGCAGUGGGGAAUUUUGGACAAUGGGCGAAAGCCUGAUCCAGCCAUGCCGCGUGCAGGAUGAAGGCCUUCGGGUUGUAAACUGCUUUUGUACGGAACGAAACGGCCUUUUCUAAUAAAGAGGGCUAAUGACGGUACCGUAAGAAUAAGCACCGGCUAACUACGUGCCAGCAGCCGCGGUAAUACGUAGGGUGCAAGCGUUAAUCGGAAUUACUGGGCGUAAAGCGUGCGCAGGCGGUUAUGUAAGACAGUUGUGAAAUCCCCGGGCUCAACCUGGGAACUGCAUCUGUGACUGCAUAGCUAGAGUACGGUAGAGGGGGAUGGAAUUCCGCGUGUAGCAGUGAAAUGCGUAGAUAUGCGGAGGAACACCGAUGGCGAAGGCAAUCCCCUGGACCUGUACUGACGCUCAUGCACGAAAGCGUGGGGAGCAAACAGGAUUAGAAACCCCGGUAGUCCCAUG